rnacentral:rRNA from 1 species
GACGAACGCUGGCGGCGUGCCUAACACAUGCAAGUCGAACGAGAAAGGGGCUUCGGCUCCGAGUACUAGUGGCGCACGGGUGAGUAACGCGUGGAUAAUCUGCCUUAGAGUGGGGGAUAACUAGUCGAAAGAUUAGCUAAUACCGCAUAAGACCACAAGAACUGCGGUUCAAGGGGUCAAAGGUUUUUCGCUCUAAGAGGAGUCCGCGUAAGAUUAGCUAGUUGGUAGGGUAACGGCCUACCAAGGCGACGAUCUUUAACUGGUCUGAGAGGAUGAUCAGUCACACUGGAACUGGGACACGGUACAGACGCCUACGGGAGGCAGCAGUAGGGAAUAUUGCACAAUGGAGGAAACUCUGAUGCAGCGACGCCGCGUGAGUGAUGAAGGCCUUCGGGUCGUAAAGCUCUGUCGCAGGGGAAUAACACAAUGAAGGUACCCUGUAAGAAAGGAUCGGCUAACUUCGUGCCAGCAGCCGCAGUAACAC